rnacentral:rRNA from 1 species
CCUACGGGCGGCAGCAGUGGGGAAUAUUGGGCAAUGGGCGCAAGCCUGACCCAGCAACGCCGCGUGAAGGAAGAAGGCUUUCGGGUUGUAAACUUCUUUUGACAGGGAAGAGUAGGAGACGGUGCCUGUCGAAUAAGCCACGGCGAACUACGUGCCAGCAGCCGCGGGAAUACGUAGGUGGCAAGCGUUGUCCGGAUUUACUGGGUGUAAAGGGCGUGUAGCCGGGUUGACAAGUCAGAUGUGAAAUCCUGCGGCUUAACCGCAGAACUGCAUUUGAAACUGUUGAUGUUGAGUACUGGAGAGGCAGACGGAAUUCCUAGUGUAGCGGUGAAAUGCGUAGAUAUUAGGAGGAACACCAGUGGCGAAGGCGGUCUGCUGGACCGCAACUGACGGUGAGGCGCGAAAGCGUGGGGAGCAAACAGGAUUAGAUACCCGAGUAGUC